GUUAGUUGUAAUCACUCAUCACCUCUUUUUCUGUUUUGGCAUCUCCUGCUUUCGGUCAUGUUGCAUGUAACAGAGUCAUUUUCAGCAAUACUGGAAUAUUUGUGUAAAAGCAAUUAUUUAUCGAUAUAAUUAAACUGUUAUAACUGAGAUUAAAAAUGUUUAUGUGGUAGUUUGUUCUUCCCUUCACAGGAAAACAAAUUAAGAGAGGCGUGGUUAAAUUCAAGAAGAUUUUUGUGUUUUUCCUUGUCUUGUGAAGAGAUGGAUUUGUAUGAAACACUAAGGGUGUUAUGCGACUCUGUAUCUCUUGUUUGUUGGGUUGUCAUCAUCUGCUACUUGUUUUUGGUCUGUGUGCUUAUAGCCAGUGGGCAAGGGAUAUGAUGGAUUAUGAUGUUGCUGCUAAUGCUAUGAGAUGGUAAGGGGAUAUGCUUGGAUGGGUUCACUUCAGCUCUUGGAUAAUGAGAAUGAUGAACUAAAUCCUUGAAGAACUCGAUUGAUUGGAAACCAUUUUUAGCUGGCUAAGGUCAGGGCUUAAAAACUAACCCACAUUAAUUGGGACAUCUGAUUUCAAUCCUCGCCUUGAAAAAAUUCCCCAGCAAGAAUGUGUGAACCGGCCACAGGAGGAUACAAGGCCAGGCAAUGCGGAUGAUUAGGAGAUUACAGAUGAUGGCAGGAGGAAUCAUUUCAGUUCUGUUAACCAAAAAUGUUCAAAUCACCAACAGCAAUAAGGGUUCCCGUAACCCUAGUGGCCAUGUGGCGAUUUUCCAGAGGAAAGUUCAGUAUAACAGCUUAAAUUAUUAAGAGAAAAGCUAUAGUGACUCUCAUAGGGGUCAGAAUGCUAAAUAAAAUACGGCCUCUUAUCCAUUGAUAUGGAUGCUUAAUUGAAAUCGCAAACUCUGAACAUUUAUUUGUAUAUCCACGAACUGAAGGCCAACUCUAGGUCUCUGGUGAGGCACUUUCUUUUACCUGAUAUUAUUGUUGCCUCUCUCAAACAGAAGUUUAUACUUUUUUGGCAUGAAAUGGGUGUGAUUGCAAGA